UAGACCAUCAAGCUCAGCUUGGCAUUGGGCGUCCGUCCCCCGAGGACGCGCCCUAAAGUCUUUGGCGGCGACGUCGAGCCUCAAGCGUAGUAGAAUAUAUCCCGCUUCGGAGGUCUCGGUGGUCGUUGGCUUCCAGAAACCCCCAAUCUCAAGG
rnacentral:misc_RNA from 1 species